rnacentral:rRNA from 1 species
UACGGAGGGUGCAAGCGUUGUUCGGAAUUAUUGGGCGUAAAGAGCGUGUAGGCGGCCGGGUAAGUCAGAUGUGAAAUCCCUUGGCUUAACCAAGGAAGUGCAUUUGAAACUGCCUGGCUUGAGUACGGGAGGGGGAAGUGGAAUUCCCGGUGUAGAGGUGAAAUUCGUAGAUAUCGGGAGGAACACCGGUGGCGAAGGCGGCUUCCUGGACCGAUACUGACGCUGAGACGCGAAAGCGUGGGGAGCAAACAGGAUUAGAUACCCUGGUAGUCCACGCUGUAAACUUUGGGCACUUGGUGUUGCGGGUAUUGACCCCUGCAGUGCCGAAGCUAACGCAUUAAGUGCCCCGCCUGGGGAGUACGACCGCAAGGUUAAAACUCAAAG